CGCCAUCUAGAUGCUAAAAGCAGCGCUUCGGUCGUCAUUAGUGACGUAUUUUUCAGUUUUGUGUGGAAUAGACACCUCUGCUUUGCCACUCUGGAGGUAAUCUGUCAGAAAUGGGCCCCUGCAGCUGCAAGUGACAGAUAAACAGAAAAGGCGGCCAAGGACAAGCUCCUUCGACGUCUUCAUAAGCACCUGCCACAUCGAGGUCAGCACCUCUAGCAGCCUCCACGGCAUCAAAACCUUCGAGCAGAAACACAAAGAGGCAAGAGAACAUCCUGAGAAGAGGAUUAAAGUCCAUCCUUCUGAAACUUGUUUUGGAUCCAGGUUCAGAGAAUCUCAACAGUGAAACAGAAUCGCACCACUCGGCAAAGA